rnacentral:rRNA from 1 species
UGGGGAAUAUUGCACAAUGGGCGAAAGCCUGAUGCAGCGACGCCGCGUGAGGGAUGACGGCCUUCGGGUUGUAAACCUCUUUCAGCAGGGAAGAAGCGNAAGUGACGGUACCUGCAGAAGAAGCGCCGGCUAACUACGUGCCAGCAGCCGCGGUAAUACGUAGGGCGCGAGCGUUGUCCGGAAUUAUUGGGCGUAAAGAGCUCGUAGGCGGCUUGUCACGUCGGUUGUGAAAGCCCGGGGCUUAACCCCGGGUCUGCAGUCGAUACGGGCAGGCUAGAGUUCGGUAGGGGAGAUCGGAAUUCCUGGUGUAGCGGUGAAAUGCGCAGAUAUCAGGAGGAACACCGGUGGCGAAGGCGGAUCUCUGGGCCGAUACUGACGCUGAGGAGCGAAAGCGUGGGGAGCGAACAGGAUUAGAUACCCUGGUAGUCCACGCCGUAAACGGUGGGCACUAGGUGUGGGCGACAUUCCACGUCGUCCGUGCCGCAGCUAACUCAUUAAGUGUCCCUUCACUGGGGAGUAGCGGCCGCAAGGCUA